AGAGCGAACGCUGGCGGCAGGCUUAACACAUGCAAGUCGAGCGGGCGUAGCAAUACGUCAGCGGCAGACGGGUGAGUAACGCGUGGGAACGUACCUUUUGGUUCGGAACAACACAGGGAAACUUGUGCUAAUACCGGAUAAGCCCUUACGGGGAAAGAUUUAUCGCCGAAAGAUCGGCCCGCGUCUGAUUAGCUAGUUGGUAGGGUAAUGGCCUACCAAGGCGACGAUCAGUAGCUGGUCUGAGAGGAUGAUCAGCCACAUUGGGACUGAGACACGGCCCAAACUUCUACGGGAGGCAGCAGUGGGGAAUAUUGGACAAUGGGGGCAACCCUGAUCCAAGCCAUGCCGCGUGAGUGAUGAAGGCCUAAGGGU
rnacentral:rRNA from 1 species